UGGUGGGGACUCAUGGGAGACUGCCGGGGUCAACUCGGAGGAAGGUGAGGACGACGUCAAAUCAUCAUGCCCCUUAUGUCUUGGGCUUCACGCAUGCUACAAUGGCCGGUACAAUGGGUUGCGAUACUGUGAGGUGGAGCUAAUCCCAAAAAGCCGGUCUCAGUUCGGAUUGGGGUCUGCAACUCGACCCCAUGAAGUCGGAGUCGCUAGUAAUCGCAGAUCAGCAACGCUGCGGUGAAUACGUUCCCGGGCCUUGUACACACCGCCCGUCAAGUCACGAAAGUUGGUAACACCCGAAGCCGGUGGCCUAACCCUUGUGGGGGGAGCCGUCGAA
rnacentral:rRNA from 1 species